AGAGAUCAUACCAGGACCAUUCAAAUGCCAAUAGCUUGCCAAAGCAUGAGGAGCAACAUUGCUGCACCCUUUAUAUAAAUGUGGAGAACUGGAUUUUAUUUUGGAAAAAUGAGGCACUGAGAAAACUGAAAUGGACAGAUCCUUCCAUCCUUACUUCUGAACAACUCUCAGGAUGCAUCCACCUGGCCAACUUCCUGGGCUUUUGGUUUAGAGCCUGUUUGCUAAAUCAGAAGUGAAUAAAUGUCUGGCCAGUUGGCAUUAAUCUUGCUCACAAAGAUGAAAGCAUCUUCAUCAGCCCUCAUCAACAGACCUACACAAGACAGAUAGGGCUUGAAUUGACAAGUAGCAGACUGGACAGCACACAGAGUCCUUCGGCUGCAUCCCUGAGUGUUAACUGAAACAUCAUCCAAGAAAACCAAACAAGAACAUGUUUCUGCUACAGAUUCUAUCCUAAAGUGGAAUCCAAGUUGGAGCAGAUCUGAAUUAUUUUUAUCUGCAAAGUAUUCUACAUUGUCACAAUGUGCUCCCGCUAGAUGGAGGCUAGACUAAAACGAACUGCUGCUCUUCUUAGAAAAGCUGCAUGGACAAAAUAGUGGCAAAAAAGUCAUCUCUUUGCAGUCAUCACUGCCACAAAAUAUAACUUUACAUGGGUACCAUGAGAGUCAUCUUCAAUCUUGUGCUCUAGCAGUCAUCCUGAUUGCCUCAUUGGCUGCAGCUCCUGGGUAAACCAGGAAAAUGUCUGAGCUCUGACACACUGUACUCUACAAGUUGUGUGUAGGGUUUAAUGUGGCUGCUGUUUUAACUGAAGUUAGUCCAGCCUGAUACACAGAUAUUAAGCAGGUGAAGCUUUUCCUGAUGUGGUGAUAAAAUGCUUAGAAAACUUCACCUGUUUAAUUUUUGCAUGUUGCAGCUGCUGUCGAAGCACAGGAACAGACCUAGAAAAAAUAACUAGCAAUUCUACCCAGGAACAGCAAACAAUUACUUUAUGUGUCCUUUUGUGAAGUGCAUAUCCACGAUUUUGUGGACUGGGUUUUUCUUUACUGGAGGACCUACUAUUGGGCAUAGUGUCUUGGUGUCAUGUUUCCAUCCCUCUCAGCUAACUAGAUAAUAUAAGAUCUCCCAUGAAUGAAGUGUACCUGCCUAAGCAUAUUGUGGGAUUUGACAUGUUUUGUGAAUGUAAUUUGUUUUAAACUUUGUGACCUACCCUGGGACCUACUGGUGAAGGGUAGGUUGUUGUUGUUGUAACAACAACAUUUUGCAAAGACCAAGAUAUCUAAGGAAAAACUACUGAGAAAAGUGUUGAUGUCAUUUCUAGCCCGUCCUUCCCAAAGGAGCCUAGGGUGGCAAACAAUAAUAUUUUUUAAAAAAUUUUUUUAAAGAUUUUAAAACAUUAAAAACAUCUGAAAACAUUUUAAAACAGAUAUAUAUCCUCACAGCUAAUAAUUUCAGAGUUGCCAAGAACAGUAUAUUUCAUCUUUCAAAUGUCUGGGUGAACGGCAAAUGCUUUUAAAUUGCUCCU